GAUCACACCGCGCCUAUUCUCUCCCGUCGGCACUUGGAUAGACGUGGUGCGUAAUUCCUUUCUUGAAAACGUGGACGUGGAGCGCUAGUGUACGGGGGAGAUCGCCGGUCCCACCCAAAAGGUCGGCGUGACCGCUGAGGCCGCUCUCGUCUCGUCUUGUAACAACACUACUCCAGUAAUAAUAAAGGCGUUCAAGAAGCACGUGGCCAUUCGCAUUUCAAUUUGAGGAUAGUUGAAAUUUCUUUCGGUUCUUGCAAGAGCCAUCAGUGAGAAUUAUUCAAACACCAGCAACUGCGAGUCGAGAAAAAUAUCAACAAAUUAAAACAAAUAGAUAGUUUAGUACCACUUCUUAUUAAAAAGAAGAAAAAUUAUUAUUAAGUCUUAGUUGUCAAAAUAUAACUAAGCAAUGGAAAAAAAACGGGAUCCACGAUGGAUUAUGAAAGAGCACGAAAAUUUUGAGGAAUAUACAUAUAAUACGUCGGACAAGUUAACAGCGCUGGAGAAAUUUGUAAAGAAUCUGAAGAUAAAUAUAAUACAGGAAGAACGAGACCAAAGAGAAUUAGAAUUCGACAUAAUUGGUUGUCAUACUUCGCUAGCUAAUGCAUUUCGCAGAAUACUUUUGAGUGAAAUACCAAGUAUGGCUAUUGAGAAGGUUUAUAUCAUAAAUAAUACCAGUUUGCUCCAGGAUGAAGUACUUGCACAGAGAUUGGGUCUUAUACCGCUUUGCGCAGAUCCUAGACUAUUUGAGUAUCCUCCGAACGGGAGACCGGAUGAUGAGGUCAGUGAUCAAGAUACUCUGAGAUAUGAAUUGAAAGUCAUGUGCACUGUGAAUCCACAAGCGCCUAAGAAUUCUCGUCUUCCAGAGGAUAUGUACAGAAACAGCAAAGUUUAUAGCAAGGACAUUAAAUGGGUGCCAAUAGGCCGGCAAGCAGAUAUGUUUCCACGAGUGGAUAAGUUCAGUGUCCUAGAAGACGAUAUAUUAAUAUGUAAAAUGCGUCCUGGUCACGAGAUCCAUCUGUUUAUGCACGCAGUCAAAGGCAUCGGCAAGGAUCACGCCAAAUUUUCCCCCGUGGCCACUGCAUCAUAUCGCCUCUUGCCGGCCAUUCAGCUAACCAAGCCCGUGAGAGACGAGGACGCGGAUCUUCUGCAGAGCUGUUUCAGCCCCGGCGUGAUAGAGGUGGUAGAACAAGAGACGAGCACGGGUCAGAAGUACCGUGAGGCACGCGUUAAAAAUGCUCGUUACGACAGCUGUUCCAGAAACGUCUAUCGUUAUGAGCAUCUAAAGAAUUGUGUGGAACUGAGUCGGAUAAAGGAUCAUUUUAUCUUCACCAUAGAAUCUGUGGGAACAUUACCAUCGGCUACGUUAUUCAAGGAGGCCAUUAAAACGCUCAAGAAUAAGUGCAGAACAUUUCUCGCAGAGCUGGAAAACGUAGGAGAAUAAAUUUGGAGUAAAAUGAUCUUCUCGAUGAGGCAAAGAUCGUCAAAAGAGAUCAUCAAAAAUUUAUCAUCCAGAAGUUGUUGCCUGUGCGUCUUGUGAACAGCACCAAUAAGAUCGUGCAAGUAUGAGACACCGGCGAUAGCUGUUGACCGUCUCUGAAGCAAUAUAUUUACAUGCAAUAUAGUUACAUGUUUAUUAGAUUUUUGUAAUAUCCGGACAAUAAAAAUCAAAGUGAUUGUAAAUCUCUUGCAUCAAUACGUGAUCGGUGUGGCAAUAAAUGCAAACACAUAUUAAAGAUUAAAAUGCCUGCAAG